rnacentral:rRNA from 1 species
UACGGAGGAUGCAAGCGUUAUCCGGAAUGAUUGGGCGUAAAGCGUCCGCAGGUGGCUGUGUAAGUCUGCUGUCAAAGAGCGAAGCUCAACUUCGUAAAGGCAGUGGAAACUACACGGCUAGAGUGCGUUCGGGGCAGAGGGAAUUCCUGGUGUAGCGGUGAAAUGCGUAGAGAUCAGGAAGAACACCGGUGGCGAAGGCGCUCUGCUAGGCCGCAACUGACACUGAGGGACGAAAGCUGGGGGAGCAAACAGG